rnacentral:rRNA from 1 species
UUUGGUGGCGAUGGCGGAGGGGAACCACGCGUUCGCGUAGCGAACACGACCGUUAAGCCCUCCAGCGCCGGUGGUACUUAGACCGCAGGGUCUUGGGAGAGUAGGACGUCGCCAAGC